rnacentral:lncRNA from 1 species
CCCAGGUGCUGGAGUGGUGCUGAGCAGGUGGAGGGGAGAGGUGCUUUCUCCUUCAUGCUCUCGGGGUUUUCUCACUCUGCCCUUGCUAUCUGCUCUCCUGGAGUGUUAGCUUGAUGAGGUCACCCCUGCUUUAGAUUUUACCUCAGUAGGGGCUUUCCCCUAGGCUGUGAGGGCCCUCAAGGAUCUUUGGCGCUCCUGUGAACAGAUGUCCCCUCCCCUCUUCCUUCCCUCUCAGAGACUGCAUGCGGUCCCGGAUCCCAGUCUUUCGUGGAGUGAGAGAUUCCAGGCAGGGAAGUAACGUGCCUGACAUCCACGGAACCAGUUCCUCCCAGAGGUGGCACUGCUGACUCUCUGUUCACAGCCACUUACACUACCAUCCCUGCAGAAAUGGGGUGCUACAGAGAAUGUCCUUAGCAAACUUUCAGAGACAAGGCUAUUUUAGAGCGCAAGAGCAAAAACCCAUUCAACCUGGCAAAAAUCACAGAGUCUUAGAAAGAAUCAGGAUCUUACAGAGCUCCAGUCAGGCCUCAUUGGGAACUGGAACCAGCAAUUGGAAAAGCAGCAGGAACCUAGACAGUUAUUGUCCCUCGUGUGGGUGUGUGUAUGUGUCUCCAGGCUACUUUCUCUCUGCUUCCCUUUGCACACGAAGCUGCUGGAGCAGGAACCUGGUCAGCCCUUUCGGUCAGGUGUCCACCCCUUCUCCCUCCAGGAACGAGCAGGGAGCGGAGCCAGUUGUAGAAACAUGGAAAGAAUCGCGAAGCCGCUGACCUCAGACUCGCAUCUCUGAGGAACCUGACUUUGGAUUUUAGCCUACGUGUUAAACCUCAGGAAAUUUUAUACAUGGGCAAGGAACACAGGACCCAAGACAAGCAGACUGAUCGUCAAGCCGCUGUCUCAAUUUUUUUAAAUGUUCUUGAGAACAUUUGACGUGUUCUUCGAGCCAAAGCAAUAGCUUCUUGUUUGGUGAGCAUGUUUUCCGAGACAAUACGAGGCUCGACUUUAAAAUUUACCCAAAUAAAAGUGUGUGUGCAUGUCUGUUAA